rnacentral:rRNA from 1 species
AUGGAUGGAGUAUGGAUCACGGAGCUUCCUGCAGAUAUUGGAAAGCUACAGAACUUAGAGACAAUGGAUUUGCGUGGGAAUUAUUGUUUUAAUUUUAAACUGCCAUCAACAAUAGCCCAUCUACAGAAACUGGUGCGCCUAUUCAUUGGAAACCGUCACUUUGUGUUUUCUGCUGAUAUGUUUGGGAGCAUGCGAGCACUGGAGGAAGUGUCAGAUAUUUGUAAAGUUGACAACCCUGAGAAAUUUUUGGAAGAGCUUGGGCAUCUAACAAAAUUGAGAAAACUCUCGAUGAGUCAAUUAUUUUGGUCUGAGGAUUUUGAAUGCUAUAGAGAAAGACUAGGAUCGUCUCUAAAUAAGUUAGGUAAAUAUAGCCUUGAGUAUCUUCAUACAAACGGACAUAUGGGAAACAUUAUAUUGAGGGAUUCAUGCUGCACCUCCAACAUCUUAAACUAG